CGUUAUGUAGCUUAACCUAAAGCAUCUUGCUUACACCAAGAAAAUGUCCGUGAAAACCAGACCAUUCCGAG
rnacentral:tRNA from 1 species